rnacentral:misc_RNA from 1 species
UCCUCGUUGACCGAGGCAGUCUCGCGUGAAAAAUACAACACACGACAGGGGUUGCGCUCGUUGCGGGACUUAACCCAACAUCUCACGACACGAGCUGACGACGGCCAUGCAGCACCUGUCACCAGGCUCCUUGCGGCACUCCCCUCUUUCGAGGGGAUUCCCGGGAUGUCAAACCCUGGUAAGGUUCUUCGCUUAGUGUCGAAUUAAACCACACGCUCCACCGCUUGUGCGGGUCCCCGUCAAUUCCUUUGAGUUUUAGCCUUGCGGCCGUACUCCCCAGGCGGGGUACUUAACGCGUUAGCUUCGAUACGCAGGGGGUCUAUGCCCCACAUACCUAGUACCCAUCGUUUACGGCGUGGACUAC